rnacentral:rRNA from 1 species
GAUGAACGCUGGCGGCGUGCUUAACACAUGCAAGUCGAACGAAGCACUUUAUUUGAUUUCCUUCGGGACUGAUUAUUUUGUGACUGAGUGGCGGACGGGUGAGUAACGCGUGGGUAACCUGCCUUGUACAGGGGGAUAACAGUUGGAAACGGCUGCUAAUACCGCAUAAGCGCACAGCAUCGCAUGAUGCAGUGUGAAAAACUCCGGUGGUAUAAGAUGGACCCGCGUUGGAUUAGCUAGUUGGUGAGGUAACGGCCCACCAAGGCGACGAUCCAUAGCCGACCGGAGAGGGUGGCCGGCCACAUUGGGACUGAGACACGGCCCAAACUCCUACGGGAAGCAGCAGUGGGGAAUAUUGCACGAUGGGCGAAAGCCUGAUGCAGCGACGCCGCGUGAGCGAAGAAGUAUUUCGGUAUGUAAAGCUCUAUCAGCAGGGGAGAUAAUGACGGUACCUGACUAAGAAGCACCGGCUAAAUACGUG